GGUGAGUUGACAGAGCGGCCGAAUGUGACGGUCUUGAAAACCGUUGAUGGGCAACCCCCAUCCCAGGGUUCGAAUCCCUGACUCACCGCCA
rnacentral:tRNA from 2 species